GCAUACACCAUCACACCCAGCCUAACUUCUUCAGAUUUCACUGGUUUACAUGCCUGUGGGUGUGGGUGUGUAUCAUUCUGUGCAAUUUCCUCAUGUGUGCAGAUUCAUGUGACCAUCACAAGUGACAACAGCCAAAACUGCUUUAUGACCACAGGUCAAUGACAUCCCUCAUUACCCCUCAGGCUCCAUCCCCAUUCCUAACCCUGAACAGCCACUCAUGUUCUGCGUCUCUAAUGUUGAUAUUUCAAGAAUGUUAUUUAGAUGGAAUCACACAUUCUCCAAGAACAUUUUUGAGACUGGCUUCUUUCAAUCAGCAUCAUUCCCUUGAGAUCCUCCCAAGUUGUCAUGCGCAACGAGAGUUCAUCGUCUUUGCUGCUGAGCAAACCUCCCUGGCAUGGACGGAGCACAGUUUGUUUCACCCUCACCCAUGAAGGAACAUCCAGAUUGUUUCCAGUUUGGGGCUGUCCCAAAGAAAGCUGCCAUGAACGUUCAGGUACAGGUUUUCAUGUGAACAUAACUUUUCAUUUCUCUAGAAUAAAUGCCCAAGAGCGCAAAUGCUAGCUUCUGUGAUAAUUGCAUUUCAGUUUUAUAAGAUACAGCCUAACUCUUGUCUACAACACAUGCCUAUGUUGAUGUUGUUGCUUUUUGGUUUUGGGGGGCAUGUUUUGAGACAAUGUCUCGCUCUGUCUCUCAGGCUGGAGUGUAGUUGUGUAAUCAUAGCUCACUGCAGCCUCGAAUUCCUGGACUCAAGCAAUCCUCCCCCUUAGCUUCCCAAGUAGCUGGGACCAUGGUUGCAUCACUGUGCCCU
rnacentral:lncRNA from 1 species